rnacentral:rRNA from 1 species
UACGUAGGCAGCGAGCGUUGUUCGGAGUUACUGGGCGUAAAGGGCGUGUAGGCGGUUCUUUAAGUUUGGUGUGAAAUCUCCCGGCUCAACCGGGAGGGUGCGCCGAAAACUGGGGGACUAGAGUGCGGGAUGGGAGAGUAGAAUUCCUGGUGUAGCGGUGAAAUGCGUAGAUAUCUGGAGGAACACCGGUGGCGAAGGCGGCAUCCUGGACCGGUAUUGACGCUGAGGCGCGAAAGCCAGGGGAGCAAACGGG